rnacentral:rRNA from 1 species
UACGGAGGGAGCAAGCGUUACUCGGAAUUAUUGGGCGUAAAGGGCGCGUAGGCGAUUUAACAAGUCUUGUGUGAAAGCCCCCGGGCUUAACUCGGGAAGUGCACAAGAAACUGUUGAAUUUGAGUUCCGGAGAGGAAGGCAGAAUUCCCGGUGUAGCGGUGAAAUGCGUAGAUAUCGGGAGGAAUACCAGUGGCGAAGGCGGCCUUCUGGACGGAUACUGACGCUGAGGCACGAAAGCGUGGGGAGCAAACAGGG